GAUAAACGCUGGCGGCGUGCAUGAGACAUGCAAGUCGAACGAACGAGCUUGCUCGUUAGUGGCGGACGGCUGAGUAACGCGUAGGUGACCUGCCCCGAAGUGGGGGAUAACUGCCCGAAAGGGUGGCUAAUACCGCAUGUGGCGACGCUUUCAUUGGCGUCAUCAAAGCCGCGAGGCGCUUCGGGAGGGGCCUGCGUCCGAUUAGCUCGUUGGUGGGGUAAUGGCUCACCAAGGCGACGAUCGGUAGGUGGUCUGAGAGGACGAUCACCCAGACUGGGACUGAGACACGGCCCAGACUCCUACGGGAGGCAGCAGUGGGGAAUUUUGGACAAUGGGCGCAAGCCUGAUCCAGCAAUGCCGCGUGCAGGAUGAAGGCCUUCGGGUUGUAAACUGCUUUUGUACGGAACGAAACGGUGAGCUCUAAUACAGUUUGCUAAUGACGGUACCGUAAGAAUAAGCACCGGCUAA
rnacentral:rRNA from 1 species